rnacentral:rRNA from 1 species
AGAAAGCCACGGCUAACUACGUGCCAGCAGCCGCGGUAAUACGUAGGUGGCAAGCGUUAUCCGGAAUUAUUGGGCGUAAAGCGCGCGUAGGCGGUUUUUUAAGUCUGAUGUGAAAGCCCACGGCUCAACCGUGGAGGGUCAUUGGAAACUGGAAAACUUGAGUGCAGAAGAGGAAAGUGGAAUUCCAUGUGUAGCGGUGAAAUGCGCAGAGAUAUGGAGGAACACCAGUGGCGAAGGCGGCUUUCUGGUCUGCAACUGACGCUGAUGUGCGAAAGCGUGGGGAUCAAACAGGAUUAGAUACCCUGGUAGUCCACGCCGUAAACGAUGAGUGCUAAGUGUUAGGGGGUUUCCGCCCCUUAGUGCUGCAGCUAACGCAUUAAGCACUCCGCCUGGGGAGUACGGUCGCAAGACUGAAACUCAAAGGAAUUGACGGGGACCCGCACAAGCGGUGGAGC